UCAGGGGAGAGGAGUGGGGGCGCUCCGGGAUGCCGGGUGGAGAUGACUGGGCCUGUUUUUGAGUCGCGCCCCGGGGCUGUGGGCCAAAACACUCAGUACUUCGGGGCCGGCACCCGGCUGACGGUGCUAGAGAACCUGAGCAGGGUGACCCCACCGACGGUCACUGUGUUUGAGCCAUCAGAAGCAGAGAUCUCCCGGAAAAAUAAAGCCACGCUCGUGUGCCUGGCCACAGGCUUCUAUCCCGACCAUGUGGAGUUAAGCUGGUGGGUGAAUGGCAAGGAGGUCCACAAUGGGGUCAGCACAGAUGCUCAGCCCUACCUGGAGCGGCCCAAUGACAAGAACUCCACCUACUGCCUGAGCAGCCGCCUGAGGGUUUCAGCUGCCUUCUGGCACAAUCCCCGCAACCACUUCCGCUGCCAAGUCCAGUUCUAUGGGCUCACAGAGGAAGACGAGUGGACCCAGAAUCGGGCCAAACCUGUCACCCAGAACAUCAGUGCUGAGACCCAGAGCAGAGCAGACUGUGGCUUCACUUCGGCAUCCUAUCAGCAAGGGGUCCUGUCUGCCACCAUCCUCUAUGAGAUACUGCUGGGAAAGGCUACCCUGUAUGCUGUGCUGGUCAGCUCCCUUGUGCUGAUGGCCAUGGUCAAGAAAAAGAAUUCCUGAGGCCAGCUCCAGCUAUGUCCUGAGUCCUUCUUCAUCCUCACUCUGGAUUCUUCUGUACCUGCUCCAAUCCAUGUUCCUAAGGAGUUAUUCUUUCUUCACCUCUCAUCCCCUUCCUACAUGGUUAUCCAUCCUCCCUCACUGUUUCACAUAGACUGAGCUCCCAUCUUGAAUCUGAAAGAAUAAACCACUGAAAAUGGCGAGUAAAACCUGGUUA